GUAAAAUUUAAUUUUUAUUUAAAAAAUUUAUUUUAUGAUUAUAAUAUAAAUGAAAUUUUGAGAGUAAGGUUUAUUUAAAUAAUAGAUUUUAUAAAAAUAAUAUUUAUAUUAAUUAUAUUUAUGGGAUUAAAAAAUAGUAAUUUAUAGAAGUAAUAAUAAAUUUAGUGCCAGCAAUUGCGGUUAUACUAAAGUUAUAAAUAAAUUAAUAAUAAUUUAGAAUUAAAUAUAAAUUUAAGAUUGUUUACAAUUGAAUUUAAUUUUGUAUGGUGAAAUAUUAAAGUUAGAUAAAAAUUGUAAAUAAAUAUGAGUGUAUUAAAUUUAAAAAAUUAGAUCAAUAAAUUAGGAUUAGAUACCCUAUUAUAUUAAUUAAAUUAUGAGGAUUAGAGAUUAAAAAUAAUAUAAAAGAAAUUUAAAUAAUUUGGCGGUAUUUUAAAUAGUUAGAGGAAUUUGUUUGUUAAUUGAUAAUCCACGAUAGGAUUAACCUAAUAAAUAAUUUUUAUAUAUUGUUGUUUUAAAAUUAUUUUAAUAGAAAUUAUAUAAUUGAUAAAUUUAAUUAAAAUUAAAAUUCAAAUCAAAAUGUAGAGUUAUUAGGGAUAAAAAUGAAUUACAUUUUAUUUAUAAUAAAGUGAUAUUGUAAUUUUAAUAUUGUAAUAAAAGAGGAUUUAAUAGUAAAUUUAUUAAAUUUAAUAAGUUGAAAUUUAAAUAAAAUAUGUACAAAUUGCCCGUCAUUUUCAUUAGUUAAUGUAAGUGAAAAAAGUCGUAACAAAGUAAGUGUAUAGGAAUAUGUAUUUAGAUUAGG
rnacentral:ncRNA from 1 species